GUAGUCGGUGACGUAAGUCAGGACGGUCUUGGAAUCUCCCCAGAAGACAGAGUAACUCUUAUUAAUGAGGUAUCAUACGUAUUUCAUUCGGCUGCAUCGAUCAAGUUUACCGAGCCGCUACACGAUUUGCUCAACGUCAACGUCAAGGGUACUGAGAGGGUAUUAUCUUUAUGUAAAUGUAUGAAGAAGCUUGAGGUCCUCGUUCACGUUUCAACAGCGUAUUCCAAUACACAUAAAAUAUUUAUCGAAGAAAAAGUUUACCCAUCACCAAUCCCUCUG